ACGAUCAUCUCAUGCUGAAAACACCGUUUCUCUUCCGAUCACCGAAGUUAAGCUUCAUCGGGCGCGAUCAAUACUUGUGAGAUUGACCAUCUAGAAACACCGCGUGC